rnacentral:rRNA from 1 species
AUUGAACGCUGGCGGCAUGCCUUACACAUGCAAGUCGAACGGUAACAGGUCUUCGGAUGCUGACGAGUGGCGAACGGGUGAGUAAUACAUCGGAACGUGCCCAGACGUGGGGGAUAACGAGGCGAAAGCUUUGCUAAUACCGCAUACGAUCUAAGGAUGAAAGCAGGGGACCGCAAGGCCUUGCGCGUUUGGAGCGGCCGAUGGCAGAUUAGGUAGUUGGUGGGAUAAAAGCUUACCAAGCCGACGAUCUGUAGCUGGUCUGAGAGGACGACCAGCCACACUGGGACUGAGACACGGCCCAGACUCCUACGGGAGGCAGCAGUGGGGAAUUUUGGACAAUGGGCGCAAGCCUGAUCCAGCAAUGCCGCGUGCAGGACGAAGGCCUUCGGGUUGUAAACUGCUUUUGUACGGAACGAAAAGAUACUGGCUAAUACCUGGUGUUGAUGACGGUACCGUAAGAAUAAGCACCGGCUAACUACGUGCCAGCCGCCGCCGUAAGAC